GAAGUUGUAUGCUUUGGCAAACAAGAAAAAAUUAGAGUUAUUGAAGAGUGACAAAAUAAGGCUUAGGUAUAAAUGUGGUAUAUUUGGUUGUCCCUUUUUGUGUUUGAUAUCCAAAGAGAGGAAUGAUGGGGUUAUAUCAAGACCUUACAUGGAUAUGUGAUAUAUUUGAUUGUACCUUUUUGUGUUUGAUAUCCAAAGAGAGGAAUGGUGGGGUUAAGAUCAAGACAUUACCUGCAGAACAUAGUUGUGGUGUUGCCUUUGAUAACAAUACUGUUGAUUUCAGUACUAUUGCACAAUAUUUCAAGCUUAAAUUACAAGAUAAUCUUAAGUAUAAGGUAAAGGAGAUGAUGGCAUAUUUGAAGAGGGUUUUUGAACUAAAUAUUAGUCAUGGAAAGUGUAACAGAGAAAAGAGAAUGGUCUUGAAAAGCUUAGAUGAUAGUUUCAAUGAUGAGUAUAACAAAUUAGAAACUUAUGCAACUGAAUUGAGAGAUAGUAAUCGAGGAAGUGAUGUGGUUAUAAAAUUUUCAAAGAAUUCACUUGAAGAAGGGAGAAGAAGAUUCUUAAGGACGUAUAUUUGCAUUCAAGCUUUAAAGAUGGGUUUCAAGCUAGGGUUGAGACAUUUUAUUGGUCUAGAUGGAACUUUCUUAAAGGGGAAAGCUAAUGGCAAACUACUAGUUGCUGCUGGACAAGAUUAACAGAUGCAGCAGCUGGUUUAUUGAAGUACCCUCCUCAGACUUGGUGCAGAGCUUACCUGGACACAGUUUGCAAGAAUCAGUAAGUUGAUAACAAGUUGACUGAAUCCUUCAACAAGUGGAUUUUGGAAGCAAGGCAUAAGCCAACAAUAAAGAUGUUGGAGGACAUUAGAAUCAAAGUGAUGAACAUGUUAAGAGAACAUGAAGAUGAAGUGAGGGGUUGGAGACAUGACUU
rnacentral:lncRNA from 1 species